rnacentral:rRNA from 1 species
GCGCGAAACCUCCGCAAUGCGAGCAAUCGCGACGGGGGGACCCCAAGUGCCACUCUUAACGGGGUGGCUUUUCUUAAGUGUAAAAAGCUUUUGGAAUAAGGGCUGGGCAAGACCGGUGCCAGCCGCCGCGGUAACACCGGCAGCCCGAGUGGUGGCCAUUUUUAUUGGGCCUAAAGCGUUCGUAGCCGGCCUGAUAAGUCUCUGGUGAAAUCCCACAGCUUAACUGUGGGAAUUGCUGGAGAUACUAUCAGGCUUGAGGUCGGGAGAGGUUAGCGGUACUCCCAGGGUAGGGGUGAAAUCCUAUAAUCCUGGGAGGACCACCUGUGGCGAAGGCGGCUAACUGGAACGGACCUGACGGCAAGGGACGAAAGCUAGGGGCACGAACC